UGGGCACCGCGUCUCCCCGCUGUUAAAGGCCCCACGUAUCUCUGCCAGUUCUGUCGAGUUGUGACCCGUACCCACCGCGGGAGUCGUAGUAGGGAUGCUAAGGGACGCAGGAGGCCUAGAAUGGCGAGCCUUCGGGCGGAGUCAGGAUUUAGGGGAGGUGUAUCUGGCCAAACGUGGACUCCCCUUCUCGCUCCUGCCGUGCUCGGGUCACUUGUCCCCUGCCCUUAACGGUCCUGGUGGCUCUGCCGCAGCUUCUGUCACCCUGUGACCUGCACUGGCCGUGGGGCUCGUAGGAAGGACUCAGGGGACCCAGGAGAUCUAGAAAUGAUGUGGUUGAGUCUGUUCUGUCCAGUCCUGUGUCCACAGCCUCUCAGCUGCACUUGGCCUUCCCUCUGAGGGACAUGAUACCCCUUUACUGGGUUGUCCUCAUGGAUCUUCCACAGCUGUGCCCUCCCACAGUCAUUGCAGGCGGGGUCUGAACUGCAUCCUGGUUUCUCCAAGAACACAGGUAUGACAUUACAUUAAUGACAUCUUGUCUGAGGACAUUUAGGACAUACAAAUAUUGUAAAAACGAGCUCACAAAAACUGGAUGGCACAUUGUCACUCAUAUGAUGUGAGGCCCUGACAACUUUGUUAAAUUUCUGGAAAUAUUUGAUAAUCUGAAACUAUGAAGAAAUAGCUGUUGUUUCCCUCAGCAUCCACAACAUCUCCUGGGUUCUUCUCCUGUUCCAGAGGUAACAUAUUUCUUGUAUUCAAAUUUUAUUUGAGCCUAUUUGUGCUGUUGCUUGCAAAUUUUCCACCUGGAGUGGCACCCCCUACCACAAAAGUCUGGAGACUCUCUUUAAAUUGUCAUACAACCAACUCUCCUGUUAGUGCCCUCAGAGACUCCUUCACUAUAGAGGCCUCAGUGACCUUCUGUCAUGCCUUCUGGGGUACCCAUGGUGGCCUUAAGUUGGCCAUGGGCUUCUGAUGGAAGAACCAGCCCUAGGCCCACAGUAUAUGUCAUUAGAGCUGCAGUGACCUCUACUUACAAGGCUGUCCUGCCAGUAGAUGGCCCUGAGCAUGGGACCAUGUAUCGAGCAGUCCGUUUUGACUUGUGACCUGGGAACAGCACUCCAGGAGCUCAGCAUGGUUAUGGAGACCCCCUGGAGACAUGAUGAAGCCAAACCUGGGCCCUCUGGGAUAUCCUACCUCCAGGAGGAGGUGAUAUUCCCUGUCUUCAGUCUCCUGCCGGGUAAAAUGGUGUUGAAGGAGGUCACCCCUUUCCCAGAAUCCCAGGCUCCCUGGGGAGCUCCUUAGGACUCCCUAAGUGUAAAGCAACAGGAGUUCCUAGACUUUGGGGAUGACAUCAUCACAUUUGCACAAAUGGAGCCCAGGCGGAGUUGCUGCUUUUCAUGUCUUAAUUGUGACAUCUCUGAUGGACUGGACACAAAGGUCAACGCACUGACCACACAGCAAGCACUCAUCGUAGCACUGCCCAACAUUGGGCUCCAGCUGCAGACAUUACAGACUAUGGGCGAUUCCCUGAGAGUUGCCCCUUUGUGGUAAAAGGACUCUAGGAGUCUCUUGCCUCACAGUUACCUACAAUAUAAAUCAAAGUAACACUUGUCUCUGCGCAUAUGAAGGCCACACACAAAGUCUCACCAGGCCACUCUGUCCACAUGGGAGUUGCAGACACUACUGAUAGUAAUGAAGGCACUCAUUUCACUUCUCAGAAUAUACAGUGCUGGGCUCUUAACAAGGCGUUCAAUGGAAGUUCCUCCUCUCUUCCAAGUCUCAGGGUGCAGGCCUCAGAGAGAAACUUAAUGACUUAUUAAAAUAAGUUCAAAUUAGUUGAAUGAAAGAUGGUCUGUUUCUGUCAUCAGUCACUCACCAGGGGUGAAUAUUAAUGUGCCUGUCUUUACUGUUUUCCUAGUAGACUGCUUUGUUUUAGGGUCAGUUUUAGGUUUACAGAAAACUUGACUGGAAAGUACAGAGAUUUCCCACAUAAUUCCUCUGCCUCCACACAGUUUGCCCUACAUUUUAUAUCUCCUAUUGCUGUGGUACAUUUGAUACAUUUGAUGAACCAAUUUGAUGCAUGAAAUUUCAUAGUUUACAUUAGUGGUGACUCUGUGUUAUGCAAUCUCUGGGCUUUGGCUAAUGUAACACUUUACAUUGCAUUUAUGUGGAACACUUGCACUUCUCUAAAAAUCUCCUGUGCUCCACCUUUUCAUUCAUCCCUCCCUCCCCCAAAUCCCUGGUAACCAAUGAUCUUUCAGUGUCAUCUUUAAUCUUUUGUAGAAUGUCCCAUGCUUGGAAUCAUACAGUGUAUAGUCUUGUCACACUGGCUUCUUUCAGUUAGCAAUAUGAUUUUAAUAUGUCUCCAUUUCUGUCUUGAUAACCUCAUUUGUGUUCAUCACUGAAGAAUGUUUUACCCUAUGGAUGUCCCCAUGAUUGUUUAUCCUUUCGCCUAUUGAAAUUAUCUUGGUUACAUCUAGGUCUCGACAAUAAGGCACAAAGCUCCUGUCAACAUUCACGUGCAGGGAUUUUUGUGAACAUCUGUUUUCAGCUCAUUUGGGUAAGGUCAAAUGCCAGAGUCCAGCUCCAGCAGAGUCCAGGUUCCUGAGGGAUGAACGGCGUCGGCGAAGGGAAGGGAAUGAGACUGCACACCAAGUUGGUGGAAGCAAGUCUGAAGUCUUUAUUGUCAAGCGUGUGUUUAUAUAUAUUUUGAGGAUUACAUAAGCGUCUGGGGUACAUCUAUUUUCUCCCCUGAAGUAGCUUGAUUUUUCCCCAUGAUAUCAUUUUACUUCCUUAAUUUAUCUGGGUCAUCAGCAGUUUCUAAAGGUUACUUCCCUUAUUCAGUCCUGGGAAAGAGCUGUUGUUUUCAUUUUCUGGGUAAGUGCAGUUAAUAUUUAUAGAUCUCUACAGUAUUCUUUGCAGGGGGUGAGACUCGGGUUAUGCUGGAGGACGGAACAAGCCUUGGGGCAAAGAUGAGCCAAGGGCCCUGGGGAUGUUGAAGGAGUGUUAGUCAGAAGAGGGUCUUUCUUGUCUACUACAGUGGGAUUCACCUUUCCCAGCAGAUUCCCCUGGGUAAGCACAAGCGUCAUGAAGAGAGCCAAUACAGCAACUAGUAACAGCAGAUUGAGCAAGGAGGACCCUCGGCCGUUCCUGCAGGGGUUGCUUUGCAACUCCCGUGCUUCGUGUGCCCCGACUGUGUCACUGGGCUGCAGCGGUUGCAGGACGGCGUCUGUCAUUCAAAGAACGUGAUGGCUGCAAUCGUAUGGUGUUUCGACUUGUUGGGGGGGCCUCUCGGACAUAGGGAGACCCUGCCCCUCCCAGGGGUACCUCAUUCCACAUUGGCGGUGGACAGCUUAUGUGGAGCAGGCCUCUCAUGUGCAUCCUGCCCGAUCCAGUGCCCUGUCCCUACAGACCUCCUUAUCUGCCUCUCACACGCCAGACAGUAUUCCCCACUCCAAACCCACCCAGGGCCAGGAACCAGAUGACUGAGGACCAUCCCUAGGCCCCAGAGGCUGCUGGGAUUGUUCAAAGCAGCUGGUCCUGAGCUGCUCACUCUGCCCUGACUCACAUUUCCUGUGGCCCCAAAUGAAGGCUGUGGCCUAGGUUUGUGUCCCCCUACUGAUUCUGCCUCCUGAGCAACCCUGAUGCAGCCCCUGUGAGCCUGCCUGGCAUGGUGUGCCCUUAUCUUGGGAAGUGUAAGUAAUAAACUUUCAAUGUCA